GAUGAACGCUAGCGGCAGGCUAACACAUGCAAGUCGAGGGGCAACGAGAUGGUAGCAAUACCAUUGUCGGCGACCGGCGAACGGGUGCGUAACGCGUGAACAACUUGCCGGACACAGGGGGAUAAUCGUCGGAAACGUCGUCUGAUAUCCCAUAACAUUGGCAUGGGCAUCCAUGUUGAUUGAAAGCAUUUAUCGGUGUCUGAUAGGUUGCGUGACAUUAGCUAGUCGGUGGGGCAACGGCCCACCGAGGCGACAUGUCUGGGGGUUCUGAGAGGAAGGCCCCCCACACUGGGACUGAGACACGGCCCAGACUCCUACGGGAGGCAGCAGUGAGGGAUAUUGGACAAUGGGCGGAAGCCUGAUCCAGCCAUGCCGCGUGAAGGAAUAAGGUCCUAUGGGUCGUAAACUUCUUUUGACGCAGAGCAAUAAGGGACACGUGUGUUCCGAUGAGAGUAUGCGUCGAAUAAGCAUCGGCUAA
rnacentral:rRNA from 1 species